AUUGAACGCUGGCGGCAGGCUUAACACAUGCAAGUCGAGCGGAGAUGAGGUGCUUGCACCUUAUCUUAGCGGCGGACGGGUGAGUAAUGCUUAGGAAUCUGCCUAUUAGUGGGGGACAACAUUCCGAAAGGAAUGCUAAUACCGCAUACGUCCUACGGGCGCAAGCAGGGGAUCUUCGGACCUUCCGCUAAUAGAUGAGCCUAAGUCGGAUUAGCUAGUUGGUGGGGUAAAGGCCUACCAAGGCGACGAUCUGUAGCGGGUCGGAGAGGAUGAUCCGCCACACUGGGACUGAGACACGGCCCAGACUCCUACGGGAGGCAGCAGUGGGGAAUAUUGGACAAUGGGGGGAACCCUGAUCCAGCCAUGCCGCGUGUGUGAAGAAGGCCUUAUGGUUGUAAAGCACUUUAAGCGAGGAGGAGGCUACUGAGACUAAUACUCUUGGAUAGUGGACGUUACUCGCAGAAUAAGCACCGGCUAACUCUGUGCCAGCAGCCGCAGUAA
rnacentral:rRNA from 1 species